GUGUCAGUUUAGUCCUGAUUAAUAAUCAUAUUUAAAGAGUUUACAGCUGGAUUUAGCUCAAAGCCCACAGGAUGCUGUUUAAACAAGAGUUCAGGUGCAACAGUAGCGUUUGUUUGCACGUUGCUGUUACAGAUUCCUCUCAAGUCUGAAUCACCUGCAGACUGCACCAGAAAGACGACUGCAAUCUAUCACUUUUAUAGUUUAAAACACAUGCCCAUGUGAGUCCACAGGAGCUGCAGACCCAACCUGCAUGUCAAUGAUGACAUGCAAAUUUCGAGCAAAAAAGCGAAGCAACUGUGGAAAGCUGUCUGUAAGCGAAGUGACAAACACAAAGAAAUAAAGAAAAGAAAUUAAAUAUUGCCCCGAAGAGAUGCAACAUGUGACAGAGGAGCAGUAUGGAGGUUUCAGAUCUAAUCAGAUGAAGGAAUCCGAGUUAUGCUUCGUCACAUGGCGUGGUGCACAGCACUGCAGUGAUCGCAGCAAAGAUACAAAGAGCGGCUGUCAGUCUCAGAAACCGCACAGAGACUGAUGCCAUGGAGAUAUCGGAGCGUCGGCCGAUCGGUGACGGAAACCUGCCUCACUGCAGGCGAUGCGUCUUUCUGAUAAUUUUCAGCAUGAAGAACAGAAGGCGCUUUGCUACUCACAUGCUGCCUCAUGCGACAGCAUGCAGAGAUCUUUCUGCAGGAGUUCCGUCACAUGCCGCAGGUGGACGCACAGGUGACAUAAUGGCAGUGACCGAGAGCAGCCUCCAUUCUCAGGUGGAGCGACAUCAGUUGUUGUUGUUGUUGCACUUGCAGCUUCUUCUUCUUUUUCUUUUGUUUGUUUUAUUUUGUGGAUCAAAUCAUGUCUAUUUAAAUGCACACUGAUGUUGACAGUGCAAUGUGUCUUACACAGCAGGUUAUUUCAUCCUCCACAUUGAUUAAGUAAUGUUUCUCUGGCUGUACAUGUGGUUAUUUUGGAAAGUGGUUUAUUAAAAAAAAAUUAAGCUCACAUAAUCCACCUUAUUUGUUUUGCUAAAUUUAAACAAAAUUUUAAAAACAAGUUUUCAAACAAUUAGUUUUUUUUUCUGCCUGUAAUCAUCCAAAGAGCAGAUGUGAUUAUUUCUCUUCCUAGUUUGUUCAUAACAAAC